rnacentral:lncRNA from 13 species
UAAAACCUAUUUGAGCCUCUCUUUAUUCAAAAUGAUUUCUAUGGUAUUUAUGUCUUUAUAUCUAGCUGUUGAGAUGGGAUGAGUGCAUGUCAACCAGUAGCAGCAUAGCCUUUAUGUGCUGACAGGGCCAGGCUAGUGGAAUUCAAUUAUGCAGUCUCCUCCUCCUCUCCUCCUUUCUACCUCCUCUCCCACCAGACAGACCAGCCCUCUCUCUCCCUCUCUCCUCUCUGGCGUUAAUUAGUUAAUUUUCUCCCUCUUUAAGUCUCUGGCCGCGUCACCUUGUCAGUUCAUAAUCUGCCAGUUGAAAUGACCUCUGCUCUCCCUGGGCCCGGCACCAUGUGCAGAGGUUCUCUCUUCAUGACAGGUUACUCAGAGCGCCGGUCUCAGAGUUAAUCACACUGCCUGAGUGCAGCAGGGUAGUUAUUCUACACAGUGUACAGGGUUUCAGACUGCAACCAUUUUGUCACAUUUUCCACCCUUGUCUGUGCGAGCAAAACAUUUUUAUUGGUUGCACUGGUGCGAGCUGCACAUUCUAUUUGGCCACCUCAAUCAAAUGUCAAAUUGUUUUUGCUGAUAAAACCAUUAAUUUGUUAAACAGUAAAGUGCUGUCAGGUGCGUGAAUGAGGACCCAAAAGCGAAUUAACAAACAGAGUUUCUUUAAUGAUGAACACACGUGGGCUCAGAUGGACAGGUAGAUUCCGACAGGACAGGACAAGGUUGCAGCAAACACGAUGAUAGUCUGGUUCAGGCAUGAGACACACAAACAAGAAUCCGACAAAGACAGGACAGGACAAGGUUGCAGCAAACACGAUGAUAGUCUGGUUCAGGCAUGAGACACACAAACAAGAAUCCGACAAAGACAGGAACAAAAACAGAGAGAGAUAUAGGGACCUAAUCAGAGGGAAAAAGGGAACAGGUGGGAAAAGGGGUGAAUGAGGUAGUCAGAGAAGACAAGGAACAGCUGGGGGAAAGAGGGACAGAAACGGUAACCUAGUACGACCAGCAGAGGGAGACAGGGUGAAAGGAAAGGACAGAAAGACACAACAUGACAAUACAUGACAAGUGCAUUAUCCUCAUGAUCCCUGUAAUAAAGGUGUCUGCUCCGCCUGCCUGUUUCACUGGGGCCAAUUGCUGUAAUGAGAUAACCUCUCACACUCUCUCUAUACAAUCAUG